rnacentral:rRNA from 1 species
UACGGAGGGCGCAAGCGUUGUUCGGAAUUACUGGGCGUAAAGCGCGUGUAGGCGGCUUGGCAAGUCGGGUGUGAAAUCCCGGGGCUCAACCCCGGAACUGCAUUCGAAACUGCCUGGCUGGAGUCCCGGAGAGGGUGGUGGAAUUCCCAGUGUAGAGGUGAAAUUCGUAGAGAUUGGGAGGAACACCAGUGGCGAAGGCGGCCACCUGGACGGUGACUGACGAUGAGACGCGAAAGCGUGGGGAGCAAACAGG